UCUGGGAUAGCUCAGUCGGUAGAGCGUGAGACUCUUAAUCUCAGGGACAUGGGUUCGAGUGCUACAUUGGCCAAAU